UAUCUCUCUCUCUCUCUCUCUCUCUCUCCCCAGUCUCAUCCCUCAGAGCAAACGAAGUGGUUGCUGCGAAACCCUAGCCACAUACAGAGAAUAAAGAGGAGUAGGAGAACCAAGGCAAUUGCUGCGAAAAUCCCAAGCAUUUUCAGAUGUCAAUUUCGUGUUAGCGGCAGUACCUCAGAUCAUUUGACAUAUUUGAACAAAAAUUGUCCUAAAUGUCGGAAAAAAGCAAUUAUUUGAAUUUCUGAGACGGAGCGAAACAAAAAAAAGUUAUUUUAUUGUUGUCAUGAUUGCGGUGCUUUUCUUGGAUGGUGCUUCCUUACAAAUUCACAAUGUACACAUGAAAGACAAGUGCAAAUGGACAAUAUAGCAACCGUCACCGAACAACUUCAAAGUAUGGGAGAACACCUUUGAUUUCAAAGCAACCAACUUCAAUUUUAGAGCACGUAGAUGCAAAAAUUGCAGACAUACAUAAAUCGAAGUUGGUGUUGUAUUUGUGGGAUCUUCUUUCUUGUAAUUGGUGUUGUAUUAGUUUUGAAGAUGUAAUAAUUUAUAUGAAAGUUAGAAGUUGAAAUCGAUGAUAUGUAUGACAGUUAUUUUUGAGACGUAUGAAGAUGUAAUCUGUUAUCUGUUUGUCUGUUUG